rnacentral:tRNA from 1 species
GUCGGGGUGGCGGAAUUGGUAGACGCGCACGGUUGAGGGCCGUGUGGAGCAAUCCAUAAGGGUUCAAGUCCCUUCCUCGACA